rnacentral:rRNA from 1 species
AUUCCAGCUCCAAUAGCGUAUAUUAAAGUUGUUGCGGUUAAAAAGCUCGUAGUUGGAUUUCUGCUGAGGACGACUGGUCCGCCCCCUGGGUGAGCAUCUGGUUCGGCCUGGGCAUCUUCUUGGGGAACGUAUCUGCACUUGAUUGUGUGGUGCGGUAUCCAGGACUUUUACUUUGAGGAAAUUAGAGUGUUUCAAGCAGGCCCGCGCCUUGAAUACAUUAGCAUGGAAUAAUAAGAUAGGACCUCGGUUCUAUUUUGUUGGUUUCUAGAACUGGAGUAAUGAUUGAUAGGGAUAGUUGGGGGUGCUAGUAUUCAGCGGCCAGAGGUGAAAUUCUUGGAUUCGCUGAAGACUAACUUAUGCGAAAGCAUUCACCAAGGAUGUCUUCAUCA